rnacentral:rRNA from 1 species
GACGAACGCUGGCGGCGUGCUUAACACAUGCAAGUCGAACGGUAAGGCCCUUCGGGGUACACGAGUGGCGAACGGGUGAGUAACACGUGGGUGAUCUGCCCUGCACUUCGGGAUAAGCCUGGGAAACUGGGUCUAAUACCGGAUAGGACCCUGGGAUGCAUGUCCUGGGGGGGAAAGCUUUUGCGGUGUGGGAUGGGCCCGCGGCCUAUCAGCUUGUUGGUGGGGUGAUGGCCUACCAAGGCGACGACGGGUAGCCGGCCUGAGAGGGUGACCGGCCACACUGGGACUGAGAUACGGCCCAGACUCCUACGGGAGGCAGCAGGUGGGAAUAUUGCACAAUGGGCGCAAGCCUGAUGCAGCGACGCCGCGUGAGGGAUGACGGCCUUCGGGUUGUAAACCUCUUUCAGCACCGACGAAGCGCAAGUGACGGUAGGUGCAGAAGAAGGACCGGCCAACUACGUGCCAGCAGCCGCCGUAA